UGAGAGCCAGUGGUUUGAGUGUUGGACUAUGACUCUGGAGACCAGGGUUCAAUCCCCUGCUCAG
rnacentral:tRNA from 1 species